rnacentral:rRNA from 1 species
GAUGAACGCUGGCGGCGUGCUUAACACAUGCAAGUCGAACGGAAAGGCCCUGCUUUUGUGGGUCGCUCGAGUGGCGAACGGGUGAGUAACACGUGAGUAACCUGCCCUUGACUUUGGGAUAACUUCAGGAAACUGGGGCUAAUACCGGAUAUGAGCUCCUGCUGCACGGUGUGGGUUGGAAAGUUUCGGCGGUUGGGGAUGGACUCGCGGCUUAUCCGCUUGUUGGUGGGGUAGUGGCUUACCCAGGCUUUGACGGGUAGCCGGCCUGAGCGGGUGACCGGCCACAUUGGGACUGAGAGACGGCCCAGACUCCUACGGGAGGCAGCAGUGGGGAGUAUGGCGCAGUGGGCGGAAGCCUGAUGCAGCAACGCCGCGUGCGGGAUGACGGCCUUCGGGUUGUAAACCGCUUUCGCCUGUGACGAAGCGUGAGUGACGGUAAUGGGUAAAGAAGCACCGGCUAACUACGUG